rnacentral:lncRNA from 1 species
UCAAAUCUCUACUUUGAGCUCCACAUUUCCAUUUCCAUCGUUCACCACCUUCAAAGCUUUCAAGCUUUCAACAUUCCAAGGUUGUGUCCAAGUGCUCCUUUGCUCAAAGGUCUACACUACUUCUUGUUCUAAUCUUCUUAAGUGAUCCAUGUCAAGUUGAAGUGCUGUUCAAAACUCUUACAUCUUUUUGUUGUGUGUUCCACUUUGGUUGAGAGAGGUUAUUCUCAAGAUCACCAAGGUGUGAGGUUAUUGAGUUGAACCAAAAGGCUCAGGUUGGUUUUAUAGAGUUUCCUGGUAAAACUCUUAGGUUGAAUCUACCUGUAAAGAUUCAAGGUUGGUUUUAUAAAAUUUCCUGGUAAUACUCUUAGGUUGAAUCUACCUGUAAAGAUUCGGUUGGUUUUAUAGAGUUUCCUAGUAAUACUCUUAGGUGGAAUCUACCUGUAAAAGAUUCAAGGUUCUUGAGCGUGGUAGCCUAGUAAAAACUCUGGUUGGUUUUAUAGAGUUUCCUGGUAAAACUCUUAGGUGGAAUCUACCUGUAAAGGAUUCAGGUUUGCCAAUAUCUUUAGGCAAGUGAAUUUCGUGAGGGUACAUCACGAGACUGAAUGUAGGUCGGUUGAGACUAAACCAGUAUAAAUUCUUUGUGUUCUUUUAUUUUUCGUUUUCUAAAUCUUAAUACUCUAAUAAGUUAAAAGAAACAAAGAGAUCCCUCAUCCAGUUAUCUGGUCACAAUCUGAGGUAGACUACUUUAUUGCAGAACCCUCAUUCAGUUAUCUGGUCAUUAUCUGAGGUUACUUAAAGUUAAAUUUAUUAUCCAAUUAUCUUAUCUUUUAUAUACUUUAAUUUAUACUACAACUUUUGUGCUUAUAAGAGA